rnacentral:rRNA from 1 species
GUAGGUGAACCUGCGGAAGGAUCAUUAAUGAAACUUCAAAGUCGGCCAAAGGUUGUUGCUGGUGAUUAUUCACAUGUGCACGCCUUUGGUCGCAAAUCCACACACACCUGUGCAUCUAUGACUCGAGGUUGUAAUGACUGAGAGUAACUUUUAUACACUCUUGUAUGUAAUGGAAUGUCUUUUUGUGCUAUAAUGUACAAUAUAAACAACUUUCAACAACGGAUCUCUUGGCUCUCGCAUCGAUGAAGAACGCAGCGAAAUGCGAUAAGUAAUGUGAAUUGCAGAAUUCAGUGAAUCAUCGAAUCUUUGAACGCACCUUGCACCCUUUGGUAUUCCGAAGGGUACGCCCGUUUGAGUGUCAUUGUAAUCUCACUUCUACAACUUUAUUGUUGUUUGAAUGUGGACUUGGAUGUUGCCGUUUUAUCACGGCUCGUCUUAAAUGCCUGAGUGUACCCUGUUUUGCAGCGUAUCCAGUGUAAUAAACAUUUCACUAGAGUUGGUCGAAAGACCGCAUUGACUAUAUGGGCUCUAUGCUUCAAACCGUCUGCCAUGUGGACAAUUUCUUGACAAUUUGACCUCAAAUCGGGUGGGACUACCCGCUGAACUUAAGCAUAUCAAUAAGCGGAGGAAAAGAAACUAACAAGGAUUCCCCUAGUAACGGCGAGUGAAGAGGGAAAAGCUCAAAUUUUAAAUCUGGUGUCUUUGACUCCCGAGUUGUAAUCUAGAGAAGUGUUUUCCGUGUCGGACCGUGUACAAGUUCCCUGGAACGGGGCGUCAUAGAGGGUGAGAAUCCCGUAUAUGCCACGGACUACCGAUGCUCUGUGAUACACUCUCAACGAGUCGAGUUGUUUGGGAAUGCAGCUCAAAAUGGGUGGUAAAUUCCAUCUAAAGCUAAAUAUUGGCGAGAGACCGAUAGCGAACAAGUACCGUGAGGGAAAGAUGAAAAGCACUUUGGAAAGAGAGUGAAACAGUACGUGAAAUUGUUGAAAGGGAAGCGUUUGAAGUCAGUCGCAUCUGUUGGGGUUCAGCCUGGCUUUUGCCUGGUGUAUUUCCUUUCCGAUGGGUCAGCAUCAGUUUCGACCGAGGGAAAAAGACAUUUGGAAUGUGGCUGUCUUCGGGCAGUGUUAUAGCCUUGUGUUGUAUGUCUCGGUUGGGACUGAGGAUUGCAGCGCGCC